UACGUAGGGGGCAAGCGUUGUCCGGAAUCAUUGGGCGUAAAGCGCGUGUAGGCGGCUUCGUAAGUCCGUUGUGAAAGUCCAGGGCUCAACCCUGGAAUGCCGAUGGAUACUGCGGAGCUAGAGUCCGGAAGAGGCGAGUGGAAUUCCUGGUGUAGCGGUGAAAUGCGCAGAUAUCAGGAGGAACACCGAUGGCGAAGGCAGGUCUCUGGGCCGAUACUGACGCUGAGGAGCGAAAGCGUGGGGAGCGAACAGG
rnacentral:rRNA from 1 species